rnacentral:rRNA from 1 species
UACGAAGGGAGCUAGCGUUGUUCGGAAUCACUGGGCGUAAAGCGCACGUAGGCGGAUGUGUCAGUCAGGGGUGAAAUCCCGGAGCUCAACUUCGGAACUGCCUCUGAUACAGCACGUCUUGAGUCCGAUAGAGGUGGGUGGAAUUCCUAGUGUAGAGGUGAAAUUCGUAGAUAUUAGGAAGAACACCGGUGGCGAAGGCGGCCCACUGGAUCGGUACUGACGCUGAGGUGCGAAAGCGUGGUAGCAAACAGG